AUGCUCAUUUUGGCAGCACAUAUACUAAAACUGGAACGAUACAGAGAAGAUUAGCAUGACCCCUGCACAAGGAUAACACGCAAAUUUGUGAAGCAUUCCAUAUAAAG